GGGCGGUUCGCUGCCCGCGACGUUGUGAGAAGUCCACUGAACCUUAUCAUUUAGAGGAAGGAGAAGUCGUAACAAGGUUUCCGUAGGUGAACCUGCGGAAGGAUCAUUG
rnacentral:rRNA from 1 species